rnacentral:rRNA from 1 species
UGAGCAAUCUGCCCUUCACAUCGGAAUAACCAUUGGAAACGAUGGCUAAUACCGAAUAUGACUUCGGAUCGCAUGAUCUGAAGUGGAAAGCUCCGGCGGUGAAGGAUGAGCUCGCGGCCUAUCAGCUUGUUGGUGAGGUAAUAGCUCACCAAGGCGAUGACGGGUAGCCGGCCUGAGAGGGUGUCCGGCCACACUGGGACUGAGAUACCGGCA